AUCCAAUAUGGCGGGUUCUUCUGAUGGAGCAGCUACACAAACAGGCGCAAUUAUUGAGCUCACUGAUGAGGAAAGAGCAGUUCUUAAAGAAUGUACAAGAAAUAGUAUUUUCUUCAGAGGUUUUCCAGCAGGUAUUAUUUCUGUAGUUUUGAUAAGCCAGGCAGUGAAAAGUGGUAAGUAAAUUCAAACCUUGCAUAAUGUUCCCACUGGACUCGACUACCACAUGCCACUUGCUAGUCUCCUUCACAGCUGUUGUUUGGGAUUGUCAGGCUAUGAGCUCCCUCGCCCAGCAAUGGCUGUUUAAACCCAAACUGCAGUCCUUUCCUUUUGUUUGGACUGCAACCACUAUGUUGCUUAUCUGCAAAAAUGUAGCAGUUGCUGGUAAGCCUUUUAAAUGCUUCAAGAUCACUUCAAACUUUGGACGCUUGUUAUUAUUCUUACAUAAUACUGUUUUUCCUUAAGCAUGUCUGACCUGGCAUGCUUUUUUUUUAGUUGGUGAAACGUUUUUCAUAGUUUGUUGCCUGGGGUGUACCAAGUACAAAAGAUAACAUCACUGACACUUGGGGUUGCGAUAUCACAAAACUUUUGAUUGGUGUAAUUGGCAAAUUUUGGUGUGGCUUACUGAGGAAUGUAUGAGUGAAGUUGUCACUGGGUAAAAUGCACAAAAGAAUGAGGUUUGGGUUUUAGUAGCCCAUGCAACCCCACUAUCAGCUCUGGCUGAUCAUUAAACAUUCUUUGUACAUUGGUUGUGACUCUGGUGGAAUUUAUCACAUUUAACUCUACAUAUAUCUCCAAGGGAAACUAGAUUUUGUCCAUUGG